rnacentral:rRNA from 1 species
CUAUCGGGGUAGAUUAGCCAAGCGAGUCGAGAAAGGUUUUGGCCCUCGGCGAACUCGCUCAGUAACACGUGGAUAAUCUACCCUGGGGAGGAGGAUACUCCCGGGAAACUGGGGUUAAUACUCCAUAGCAAUGAUGCACUGGAAUGUCAUCGUUGCGAAAGAUCCGUCGCCCCAGGAUGAGUCUGCGUCCGAUUAGGUAGUUGUUGGGGUUACUGCCCAACAAGCCGAUAAUCGGUACGGGUUGUGGGAGCAAGAGCCCGGAGAUGGAUUCUGAGACACGAAUCCAGGCCCUACGGGGUGCAGCAGGCGCGAAAACUUUACAAUGCGGGAAACCGUGAUAAGGGGAUCUCGAGUGCCAGCAUAUAAUGUUGGCUGUCCAGAUGCCUAAAAAGCAUCUGUUAGCAAGGGCCGGGCAAGACCGGUGCCAGCCGCCGCGGUAACACCGGCGGCUCGAGUGGUGGCCACUAUUACUGGGCUUAAAGGGUCCGUAGCUUGAGCAAUAAGUCCCUUGGGAAAUUCAGCAGCUUAACUGGUGACAGUUCAGGGGAAACUGUUGUUCUAGGGAUCGGGAGAGGUAAGAGGUACUGCCGGGGUAGGAGUGAAAUCCUGUAAUCCCGGUGGGACCACCGGUGGCGAAGGCGUCUUACCAGAACGACUCCGACAGUGAGGGACG